UACGGGGGGAGCAAGCGUUGUUCGGAUUUACUGGGCGUAAAGGGCGCGUAGGCGGCCACCGCAAGUCGAUUGUGAAAUCUCCGGGCUUAACUCGGAAAGGUCAACCGAUACUGCGGGGCUAGAGUGCAGAAGGGGCAACUGGAAUUCUCGGUGUAGCGGUGAAAUGCGUAGAUAUCGAGAGGAACACCUGCGGCGAAGGCGGGUUGCUGGGCUGACACUGACGCUGAGGCGCGAAAGCCAGGGGAGCGAACGGG
rnacentral:rRNA from 1 species